rnacentral:rRNA from 1 species
UCUUGACCUCAAAUCGGGUGAGACUACCCGCUGAACUUAAGCAUAUCAAUA